CAUUGCUUAUAGAAACAUAAUUAUAAGUAAAACCUGCUCAAUGAAAAACUUAAAUAGCCGCAAUUUAUUUGUGCUAAGGUAGCAUAAUCAUUUGUUUUUUAAUUCAAAACUAGAAUGAAAGGUUUUACAUUUAAAUUUCUAUAUUUUAUAUACUAUACAAAAUUUUACUAAAUAUAAAAAUAUAUUUAUACUUUAAAAAGACGACAAGACCCUAUUGAACUUUACUUAUGUUUAGCUGGGGUAGCUUUUAAAUUAACAUUUUCAACCAAUUAUAAUAAAUUUUCCAAUAAAAUUGAAAUUUAAUCAAGUUACCAUAGGGAUAACAGCGUAAUUUUUAUAAAAAGUUCAUAUUCAAAUAAAAGUUUGCGACCUCGAUGUUGAAUUAAAUUUUCUUAAUUUCGCAAUAGAAAUUAAAGUAAGUCUGUUCGACUUUUAAAAAUUUACAUGAUCUG
rnacentral:rRNA from 1 species